rnacentral:rRNA from 1 species
GUGUCAGCAGCCGCGGUAAUACGAAAGGGGCAAGCGUUGUUCGGAUUUACUGGGCGUAAAGGGCACGCAGGCGGUCUUGCCAGUCAGGGGUGAAAGCCCGGGGCUCAACCCCGGAACUGCCUCUGAUACUGCAGGACUAGAGACUAGGAGAGGGUGGUGGAAUUCCCAGUGUAGAGGUGAAAUUCGUAGAUAUUGGGAGGAACACCAGAGGCGAAGGCGGCCACCUGGACUAGAUCUGACGCUCAGGUGCGAAAGCGUGGGGAGCAAACAGG